UGUUGUAGAGCUCAUCAAGAAGGUAAAUCGUGUUGAAGAACAUAUUGAUCGAGUGCUGAUUGAUGCACAAUCGAAGAUGAUAUAAGUGAAAUUAUUUUUACGAAAAUAGAUAUGGUCACACUGUAUCACAUCCAUUUUAUCGGAGAAUAAAUUAACUCUGACGAAAGAAACGUCCCCGACGAAGAGUUCAUCUUCCAUCCUUCAACCCUAACUGAUAACCAGUCAGCUAAGUUCAAUUUUGUACAGAUUUCAUUGUUCUCGGCAAACUUCUCUCUACUCCAUUCCAAGUUUGAGAACAAUUGUGUUUAUGAGAGAUUUCAUGGUCACUUGAAUUUUACCUUAAUCUCUUGAUGAUCUCUUUACACCUAUUAAUUGCGACAACAAUGAAAGAAAAUUUCUUGCUCCAUUGCAUGCUUAAAUUGAGACAAUUGUUAUACUUUACUUUGUGUAUUACUGCUUUUGCAAGCACUGGUUUUUGCUAGAAUCGAAAUGAUUGCUUUCAGUUUGGACUUCACUCCUUUGAAGAUACAUUUUUUUUGGAAGAGUAAAGCCUUACUUUUUGAAGCUCGUUAAAGUUUUCAACCGAGCUCGAAUAAGCCACUAAUCGGCUCAUUUAUCACCUCUAAUCCUUUGGGAUCUGCUCGUCUAAUAGCUAAGCUUGAACACAUUUUCGAAGCUUUUUAAGCUUUCAAACCCAACUUGAUCAACCUCUUGCUUGGCUCAAUGGGCUCAUUAAUCAUCCCUAAAUCCUGGGUUUGUCCAAAACUUGUCCUGAAUGUGCAUCAACUGUAUGUGCUCGCCUACUCAGACCUGAGAGAUUUUCCAUUUUGCCAUCAAUUAGAGAAAAGCAUGCAUUCAUGAGAUGUGUUAUCGUGUUCUGUUGAUAAAGAACCUUACAUAGUGUAGUAAGUUUAACUUCAUUGGCCACAAAUCUCUCUUAAGUUCUCGAAAUACCACCCAUCUGGUUUAUGCUUUUCGUUUGGAGCUAAUGGUUUUUGUACUGCAAAGCAUGUUGGGAUUUGUUUUUAUCCUUUUCCUCAUCUUUGUUGAUACUGGUUGCUGUGACAUUUGUUUUUACCCUUUUUCCCAAAAGCAUGAAAAGAAAAGGGGGUUCACAUGAGUCUCCUUGAAGAACUAAGAGACUUAAGCUCGCCUAGCCGCCUGCUACUCGAAGGGCAGUUGAUGACAUUCGUCUCUGCGGCUGGCACUCAGAGGAACCACAGCGACUCUGUUUGCUUGCAUUCUCUAUCGCAUGAAGUGAGCACUGCAGACUGCACACCCAUGAGAAAUAAGCCAAAGCACGAGCACACUUCUUGCCUCAGUACCUUUUACCAGAACCCUCACAUGAUCCAAUUUUCAUGUUCAAUUGUUCUAGAAAUUGAAAGCAGAGUUUUUCUAUUACUUAAUCUAUAUAGUAGAAGCAAGCUCAGAAAGGAGAAUUUCCAAGUCAUUGCUUCUCUUCAGAUCAAACUUUAACUCGACGGAUUUCAGUGCCAUCCAAAUACUAAUUCACAUGGUGAAGUGGCCUAGUAACAUGUUCACGAUUGCUACUUUUUCAACUUAUAUAUGAGUACCCGUUUAGAUAGUGAUUUUGUCUUUUAUUGUUUUAAGUAUUGUACUAGCUUACUAGGAUUGAAGGCUCACUAUUUCAUGUAGGGAUAGUAUUUGCAGAGUUGUCUUUUCGGAUUCAUUCGACCAUCACGCGGGGUAUGGUUGCAGCAACGCAUUGAUAACAUAUUAUGCUUGGGAAAAGGAUUGUGUCCCUUCGUCAAAGGAUAGUAAAAGGAAAGGUGUUUGAUAUGCGCCCUUCCCAUUUUAGGGAUGUAGAACUCGUCUUUGUGCAAGAAGCUUUCCCUUGCUUUUUACUGUAACUGCAGAAUUAUGAAGACAAAUGGUUCACAGUGCUUCUGGCAUUCCAGAUUGUCUGAUGAAAUGCCCAUGAAUAAAAGAACCUUGUUUUUCUUCUUCUUCUGAAGAAAGAACUUGAACAUUCCCAGGUACUGUUCACGAUCCAAGAACGAUCCACUUUUUACCCUUGAAAUAUUUCUAAAUCAGGCAGAAGCCAACCCAAACACGUUGCCCAAUGCUGUUGCCUUUUCAUCCUCUAGAAAACCACUUUAUUCGAUAUCACCCAGUUUUCUGUAAGUGUAGCAACAUGAAUUUCAUAAUUUUUUCUUGGUACUGUCUGGAUGAAGAUUACAUGGAGAUAUAAAUUCGAGUAUUAUUGUUGUAAGUGCUGGUCCUUUGGUUGUUUUUGCAGGAAUCUUAGAGCCGAAGCAACUCUGCUUUCUUAUGGCAUUUUGGAGACCCCAGAUAUGUACAACGAAGUACUUCUAUGCGAUUUUGAAGUAUUUGAAUGCAGUACACCAUGACGCAUGGCCAAUAUGUAUAGCUUGUUACGAGUACGUUCUAUACAAGUUCAAGGCCGUUUUCCUCUACAAAUUUGUGUAGGCUUCAUCACAAAGUGUGUGGCUCUUGUACCAAUAAUGUGUCGUAGAGAAGGGCAUUAAAUCACCAUGUGGUAGUGCUCUAAGAGCACUCAAUCAGAGCUAAAGAUCCCAAAACAAGCUCAACACACCUCAAGUA